rnacentral:lncRNA from 1 species
AGCCUCUAGACCACAAGAGACUCUUUUGAUCGAUAUAGAGUUGAAGUCUUUUAAUUUGCAUACAGUAAAGCUGCUGGGUUCCUCAUUCAUAUUUGGGUCCACCUAUUAUUUGUUUCUAUUGAUUUAUAAGUUAUACUAAUGAGAUGUUCAUUAAAAAAAUAGUUCCAUGACUUCAGAUAAUUGAUCGAGAAUAGUGCUAAUGAAUUGUUUUGGCUUCCUAUGCAUUAAAGAAAUAGUUCCAUGACUUAUAAUUGCAUCAUCUGAUCCAUUAAUAUAGACAAGUAGAUAAUUUGUUCCUUGACUUGCUCUGUUUGGAACCUUCUCUUCUCUGUUUUGGUGGUGAAUGUUGAGGUGGUCCAAGCUCAAAACAGAAAAACAUUGUAGGUGGUCCUAACUCAAAACGGAAAAAAUGUCCAGGUGGUCCUUUUCCAUGUGCUUGUGCUUGAUAUUCGUUUUUAACUGUGCAAUGUUUCUUUUUUCGAAUGAGCUGGAAUGUACUAUCACUAUAGCACUGGGUUAUGUUAAUUGAAAAUCUUUAAAUGUGAGGAUGUGUAUGUCCAUGAGCAGGGUUACAAGUAUGCUAAAUUACUAAUCAUCCGCCGAAUUUAGUGAACUUGCUUUUUACCCGACAGCCUUCUAUUUCUGUCAUCCUAUUAGUUGAAGUGUUCCAAAUUUUGAGUAGACAACUUAUUUACCUUUGUUAUUUUGUGUUCUGUGGAUGGAAGGGAACAAUUCUUUCUGUAUGAGUGUGACCCUGCCUGCAGAGUAAAAGGUCAUGGUGACAACGCCGCUUGGACUGCUUCUGGACGUCCACGGUGACACCAGGCAGUUCCAAAGCCAACCUGAGCUCCUCCUUGUGGUGAUGUUAGCCGGCGAGCUUCCUCUACCUCCACUCUAUGUGGAUGUCAGCCGGUGAGAUAUAUAGUCUCUACAUUUCCAUCAUGCACAGACUUUUUAUGCAUAGCAACCAGAUCAAUUCUCUGGAUGCCUUGUGCAUAUAUAAUUAGCUCUCAUCUUUAGUUUAACUUUGGAACGAGAUUAUUCACUAAAGGAGAUUCAUGGUUGCACUAUCUAAUUUUAUUGGUUUGUUCUAACUUUAGAAUGAGAGUAAUCACUAGAGGAUUGGAUUCAUGGUUGCAAUAUAUAAUUUCUAUUAAUUUGCUUUUUUAUAUAUUAUGAACUUCAGUUUCUUUAUACGCCAAAACAAAACCACCAAUUUGGAAACCUCUGUCAGUGUUAAAUAAUUAGGCACAUAAUAAUGGUGAGAUGCCUUUACUUGAUUCAUCGCAUAGUGUAAUCAAGUUUUGUGCCUAAAGAAAAUCUUAGAGGAUAUCUAUGUAUAGUAGGCUUAUUAUGUUUUCUGGGUGCCAUGUAGAAUACUAAGGUAAAAUAAUUUUACUCUUAUCUUUUAUAUUGUUUUAUGUUAAAGAGGUUACACUAUAUCCAGAUCACUGAAUAUUAUCCAAAGCGAUUCUCCUUCAUAAAGGCCAAAUUAUUUUCUCCCUAUCCAUGAGGUAUCUAUUUGAAUAGUUUGCCUAACAUGAUAUGUCCUUUAGCAGAUCCGUGUGUCGCAACAUGCAAGCAAAUCAAAUGAAGGAGUGUGGACAAAGUUAUAUAUCAAGCAAAUCCGUGCGUCACAACAUGCAAGCAAAUCAAUUAAUCAAAUGAGUGUGGACAAAGUUAUAUAUCAAGCAAAUUGGAUGAAGGCGUGUGGACAAAGUUAUAUAUCUAAUGGUCAACCAUGUAGUUUACUAUAGUAUUAUGCAGUAUAGAAAACAAUGUAAAUAAGUUAGGUGGGACUAAUACUAUGGCCUGCUUUUGGUUUCUAUCAUACCAAACCUUGCUUAAGUAUUUCAUGUCACAUUUAUAACAAAUGCGCGAAUGGCAUGUAGAUAGGGUCAUUUUUUAGAUAUUUUACGGGAUGAGUACUGUUGUGAGUAUCUACCAUCACCUACUCUUUGAGUAAUAUCAGAUAUAUUUCCAUCAUGAGAUAUAUUGAGUAAUAUCAUAUGUUAAUCAAAAAGAGUUAUAUCAGAGGUUUGAUCAUUGAACUUCUUUUUUAUCAAUUUGAUCCUUGAUACAUUUCCAUUCUGAGAUACAUACAUAUUUUUUCUAUUACCGGGUUAGUGAAAACGGGAUUACGUGGAAGUUGGGGUUUGGCAAGUAGCACCUCUUUUAUUAAGUCCACAUCAAAAUUGAGAGGCAUUGUAGGCCAGUUCUUUGAUAAUUCUAUGUUUUAUAUAGAAUGCUCCAAUGAUUGUAUUACCGGUUGAAUAUUAGUGCAUCCGGGUAACAAACAAUUUGUCAGGCUCUCUGAUAGUACCAUAGGUGUCUUUGCCUUCAAAAUUGAAAAGGGGAGACCAUCACUCACUGUCCAUGAGCUUAAAGGCUAAGAUACAAAAUCGCAAGUGCAUCAUUGUUUACGCAUGUUCUAUGCAAUUUAUCUUGCGGAUCACUUGCAUCAGGUAAUGUGACAUGUCACCUAUAAAGUUGAUCGACAAGGAAGCCGAAUGAAGCAACUUAUUAGUAUGCCUAAUAGCUAUGGCUAUGUAGUUUUUAUCUUUUUAUGUGUUUCUGCUCUUGGUACUUCCUCUCUCAUGUCCGCGCUCUUAGUACCAAACUUAAUGUCAAGCGGUUAGUUUUUGUGGU